GCGAGAGUGGUGAAAUUGGUAGACACGCCAGACUUAGGAUCUGGUUCGAAAGAAUAAGGGUUCGAGUCCCUUCUCUCGCAC
rnacentral:tRNA from 1 species